rnacentral:misc_RNA from 1 species
AGCAGCCGCGGUAAUUCCAGCUCCAAUAGCGUAUAUUAAAGUUGUUGCAGUUAAAAAGCUCGUAGUUGAAUUUCGGGAUUGACGUGAUGGUCGUGCCUUACGGGGUAUGAACUGUUGCAGUCAAUUUCUCACCUUCUGGAGAAAUAUGAUGUCCUUAAUUGGGUGUCAUAUGGAACCAGAACUUUUACCUUGAAAAAAUUAGAGUGUUUAAAGCAGGCUUAUUGCUCGAAUACAUUAGCAUGGAAUAAUAAAAUAGGACGGCAUGGUUCUAUUUUGUUGGUUUCUAGGAUCACCGUAAUGAUUAAUAGGGAUAGUUGGGGGCGAUUAGUAUUCAAUUGUCAGAGGUGAAAUUCUUGGAUUUAUUGAAGACUAACUACUGCGAAAGCAUUUGCCAAGGAUGUUUUCAUUAAUCAAGAACGAAAGUUAGGGGAUCGAAGACGAUCAGAUACCGUCGUAGUCUUAACCAUAAACUAUGCCGACUAGGAAUCAGACGAUGUUAAUUUUUUAAUGACUCGUUUGG